UUUAUUAUUAAAUAAAAUAUGAAUAAGGUAACAAAGUUUACUUAAAAAAAUUUACAUAAUUUUAAUCUAAUAAGCAAGAUGAUGUAAAUUUCCCGCUAGUUUUAACUCUGGUUGAGAAAGUCGUAGAUUGGUAUGAAACAUCAUUCAAUACAUGGGAACGUUGGAUAGACAAUCUUGUUCAUUAACAUCCUUAUCCUCCUUAUCAAGAGAACCAUCAUUUGCUCCUCCUAAUGUAGUUUCUCCGGUCAUUAUUGUCGCUUAUGUUGAGGCUCUUGUUCAAUCCCUUAUCACUGAGCCCACUCCAGUUAAUGCCUCUAUUUUUGCCACCAAGUGCACUUCAGACGAUUCCCACAUCACUGCAUAGGAAUUUUCCAUGUGUUACUUUGAUGUUGCAUUGACUCAUGUGACAAUCUUAUAAUAGAUCAAAUAACUCAUCUAAAGGAUAAAAUGACUUGUAUGGAGGAUAGGAUGACACGUAUGGAAGACACACUUACUCAUUUCUACAUAUAUACUAUUGUAUAGGUUAAAAAGUUAAUGAAAAUUGUUUGGACACUUUAAUUUAACAUGCAAACAUGUAAACCCUACUAUAAUUACAUACAUUGUUACAGUCUCCUCAUGACAAUGAUGACAAACCAUCGAUGGAAGAUCUUAUAUUCACGUCUCCACCUACACUCAAGUAUGUACUAAAUUAUUAAAACAUCUUAUAGGUGAUAUCUGAGAAAUACUUUGAUUACUUAUUAACUUGUGAUUGUUGAUAUUGUUACAACGUCAAUUUCUUUAUGAGGGACCAUCGAAGAAGGAUUCUAUAUUGACUUCUAUUUUAAUAGUCAAGUUACAACAUGUUGGUGAUGAGGGAUCAUAGCAUAAGUGUUCCUCAUUAACACCUUCUUUGAUAGUUGAGGGUCCCAAGGUUUAUGAGGCCCUAUCGAGGGGGGAUCUUAUAUUGACAUCUAUUUCGACAGUUGAGGAUGUUGACGAUGAGGAAUCAUCCUAUGAAGUUUUCCCAUUAUCACCUUCUUUAAUAGUUGAGGGUGACAAGGUGAUUAACAUUGCCUCUCAAGGGAAUGAAGUGGUUCAGAUCCCAUUAUAGAGGGAUGAAAUUGAGGUGUACGACAUACGGAUGAGGACCAAAUUUUUUUUUGGGGAUAUAGUUACGGACAAAUUAGGAUGGUUUUCUAAGGAGGAUUAGUACGUCGACGACAAUAUGAUGUUGUAGAAAAGGUCCAUCAAAACUAGAUGGUAGUCAUGGCUUAUUUUGUUGCACAUCUCCCGUAUGAGCAUGUCACAUGGAUGAAAGAUUAAGGGUAUACACCACAAGACGAUCCAUUUGUAUUGCAUAGGGUGGUAGAUAUACCGCAACAAGCACCCCUAUUAGGCAAUUGUGAUGACCCGUGCGACAGUGAUAGACAAUUGGUGGAUGGAUAACGCAUGUCUCUUUUACAUGUAACCACUUUGAUUAAUCCUUUAAUGGAUUAACAACCUUUACAUAACUACACGACAAAAUGUGGUACUGUAGUAGAGAUACACCCAGUGAACACAAGUGGUGAGCUUCAUAUACCUUGUUACGAUGAUGACAUGUGUGCAAAGAAUCUAUGAUAGUUGAAAAUUUCAACACGUAUAUAUCCGCUUCGUAAGGUCCACCACACCAUCAUAUUGGUCACUACCCAAAACCUCGUAUCGUUGAGAUAUAACAUGGUGCACCUCCAAGUUCAAAGACUUUCACACACACUUGGCAAUCUUCUCCUCUGCCCAAAGUGUUAUCGAGUUGGUACAAGCAUCU